rnacentral:rRNA from 1 species
CGACCAGACUCCUACGGGAGGCAGCAGUGGGGAAUAUUGCACAAUGGGCGAAAGCCUGAUGCAGCAACGCCGCGUGAAGGAAGAAGGCCUUCGGGUUGUAAACUUCUUUUAUCAGGGACGAAGGAUGUGACGGUACCUGAAUAAGAAGCACCGGCUAAAUACGUGCCAGCAGCCGCGGUAAUACGUAUGGUGCAAGCGUUAUCCGGAUUUACUGGGCGUAAAGGGAGCGCAGGCGGCGCGCCAAGUCUGAUGUGAAACCCCGGGGCUCAACCCCGGGCAUGCAUUGGAAACUGGCGGGCUGGAGUGCCGGAGAGGUAAGCGGAAUUCCUAGUGUAGCGGUGAAAUGCGUAGAUAUUAGGAGGAACACCAGUGGCGAAGGCGGCUUACUGGACGGCAACUGACGCUGAGGCUCGAAAGCGUGGGGAGCAAACAGGAUUAGAUACCCUCGUAU